UCUUUAUAAUAAAUUUAUUUUAAUAGAUUAUUUAAUAUAAAUUGAUUAUUUUAAUAUUUAAAUUAUUUUAUUGGGGUGAUACAAAAAUUUAAUAAACUUUUUUAAUUUAGUUACUUUAAUUAAAGAUUUUAAAAUAAUGAUCUAUUAUUAAUAAUUCAAAGAAUAAGA
rnacentral:rRNA from 1 species